rnacentral:rRNA from 1 species
AGAGUUUGACCUGGCUCAGAACGAACGCUGGCGGCAGGCCUAACACAUGCAAGUCGAGCGAGAUCUUCGGAUCUAGCGGCGGACGGGUUAGUAACGCGUGGGAACGUACCCAAAGGUAGGGAAUAGCCACUGGAAACGGUGAGUAAUACCCUAUGUGCCCUUCGGGGGAAAGAUUUAUCGCCUUUGGAUCGGCCCGCGUUAGAUUAGAUAGUUGGUGGGGUAACGGCCUACCAAGUCUACGAUCUAUAGCUGGUUUUAGAGGAUGAUCAGCAACACUGGGACUGAGACACGGCCCAGACUCCUACGGGAGGCAGCAGUGGGGAAUCUUGGACAAUGGGGGCAACCCUGAUCCAGCCAUGCCGCGUGAGUGAUGAAGGCCUUAGGGUCGUAAAGCUCUUUCGCCUGUGAAGAUAAUGACUGUAGCAGGUAAAGAAACCCCGGCUAACUCCGUGCCAGCAGCCGCGGUAAUACGGAGGGGGUUAGCGUUGUUCGGAAUUACUGGGCGUAAAGCGCGCGUAGGCGGACUGGAAAGUUGGGGGUGAAAUCCCAGGGCUCAACCCUGGAACUGCCUCCAAAACUAUCAGUCUAGAGUUCGAGAGAGGUGAGUGGAAUUCCGAGUGUAGAGGUGAAAUUCGUAGAUAUUCGGAGGAACACCAGUGGCGAAGGCGGCUCACUGGCUCGAUACUGACGCUGAGGUGCGAAAGUGUGGGGAGCAAACAGGAUUAGAUACCCUGGUAGUCCACACCGUAAACGAUGAAUGCCAGUCGUCGGGUAGCAUGCUAUUCGGUGACACACCUAACGGAUUAAGCAUUCCGCCUGGGGAGUACGGUCGCAAGAUUAAAACUCAAAGGAAUUGACGGGGGCCC